UCUUUUAAUAAAAUUUAACUAACCCUACCCACAAUCGUGGCAUCAUCACCUCAAGCAGCCAAACUAUUCCUCAAGACCCAUGACGUUGUUUUUGCAAGCAGGCCCAAAGUCCAAUCCUCUUGUCGUACGGUGCGAAGGGCUUUACUUUUACCGAGUACGGUUCCUAUUGGAGAACUGCUCCGAAAUGGUGUACUCUACACCUUCUCAUUGGUUCGAAAGUUGAAUACUUUGCCCCAAUAAGGAAGGCGGAGCUGGGGUCGAUGGUUGAAACGGUAAAGAAGGCAGCGGCAGCAGGUGAGACGGUGGACAUUAGCGGAAAGGUAGGUGAGCUUAUCGAAGACAUAAUGUAUAAGAUGAUUUUUGGGCGCCCCUCCAAUUCUGAGGAUGACAAUUUGAACUUGAAACUGCUGAUUAAAGAGAUCUCGCGCUUAGCGGGAGCUUUCAACAUAUCGGAUUACAUACCUUAUCUUGCUCCACUUGACCUUCAGGUAAUCUCUAUUCUUUUCUCCGUUUACAAUUAUUUUCUCAAUGUCUCUUUCAUUCGUAUUGACACUUGAUAAUGGAAUAGUCAUUUCGAGAAAUGGUCAAUUUGAGCGGGUUCGAUAUUAUCUGGAAGAGUUAGAUAUUAUCGAGCUUCUCGAUGAUGACUAUUCCGAGCAGAUAAGAUGGAUUGUCCGGGGUCCACUAAUAGUUCAUGUCACAUCAACUAUUAAAAAAAUGUUCAAUUUUAAUAUUUGUGAAAUUUUGUUAUUAUUCUAUUUUAAAAAAAUUCAUUACUCAUAUUUAUUACGACUUAAAGUCUUAAACUAACCUUCAUCCUGAAAAAAUAUUUGACUUGGAAAAAUUUUGAAAUGAAAAAAAAAUGAGCACGCACACCUACUUGACUCAAGUCAGGUGUAGACAUAUUUUUUAGGCUCAAGCUUAGGAAUAUUAUUAUAUUAUUAAUACAUAAUAUUUUUAUUUCAUUUUAAUUUAAAAUAUCAAAAUAUUAAUAUUAAUAUUAAUAAUAAAAAUUUCAAAUUUGAGUUUAGAUAUUCAAGGCAUAACCACAACUAGUGCGAUUCAUGAACACCUUUUUAGGACAACUCUCCUUAUGGAAUUAGAACAAAUACACACAAAAACAUAAAUAAAUGUGCAUCCGAAUAUAAAAUCUAGAUAAGGUCAAAAAUUUUAGGACAAAUUCGUGAAGUUCUUUAUUAAAAACAAAAAAAUUAAAUUAAAUUUGAAAAUCUAAAUAGAUAGAUUGAAAGCUCUAAUUAUAUAGGUAAAAUAUACAAAAUUUGAAGUUUUUUUUUUGAAUUAAAGAAUAGAUUAUCUUUUUCUUCUUUUGCCUAUUUUAUAUGGAUACUGUCUUAUAUGAGAUGCAUGUACGUGUGUUGAUAUAUUUUUCAUUGUUUACAAAAAAAACCCAAUUAAAUAGAAAAAAUAACAAAUGUGUUUUACUUUCACUUUGAAAAUAAAAUGUAAUGAUGAAUUAAUAUAAUUAAUUACUUCCAUUCUCAAGGAUUAGCAUGAAAGCUAAAGAAGGUGAGUAAGAUACUCGACAAAUUCAUGGAGAAAAUAAUUGAUGAACAUGAACAAGCAGCUGGGAGUAAUCCUGAGGAGCAAAAACCUCAUAGAAUUUUCGUUCAUGUGAUGGUUUCAUUGUUUGAUAAACCCAUGAAUCCCCAUGACAGAGCAAGAAUUCAUAAUUGACAGAACAAACAUCAAAGCCAUAAUGUUAGACAUGAUUUCAGGUGCAUUAGAGACUUCAGCUAUAGCCAUUGAGUGGGCAUUAUCAGAACUCCUAAGGCAUCCUCGAGUGAUGUUUGGUCUUCAACAAGAGUUGAAAAUUGUGGUCGGCAGGAGUAGAAUGGUAGAAGAGUCGGAUCUACCACCGUUAACUUAUUUGGAUAUGGUUGUCAAAGAAAGUCUAAGGCUGCAUCCGAUUGGGCCGCUCUUAAUCCCCCAUAAGUCCAUGGAAGAUAUUAUGAUUGAUGGAUAUUUUAUACCAAAGAAGUCACGAAUCAUAGUAAAUACUUGGUCGAUAGGGCGAGACCUUGAUGUAUGGUCAAACAAUGCUGAAGAGUUCUUUCCAGAGAGAUUCAUCGAUAGCAAUAUCGACCUUCGAGGACAAGAUUUCCAACUCAUCCCAUUCGGAUCAGGUCGUAGAGGAUGCCCUGGAAUGCAAUUAGGCCUAAUAACAAUUCGCCUAGUGUCAGCUCAAUUGGUACAGUGCUUUGACUGGGAGUUGCCUGUUGAACUGGACAUGAGCGAAAAAUUUGGCCUCUCAAUGCCAAGGGCGAAUCCUUUUUUAGUGAAGGCAACUUAUCGUUACUUGAUAAUAGAAUGUAAAAUAAAUAGGAAAAAAAGAAUCUAACUGUAUAUGUUCUUUUUUUUGCCUAAACAAGUUCAUUUUAUUAAUAAUGAUAAAAUUAAUGGCUACAAGCCUCAGAGUUCAAAUGGUUUAAUUGGAAUAAAAGAAAGUCACUUGAAAGCACCCAAAAGUCAAUGUCCAGUCGGGCCAAAAAACAGAGUCACUAGAACAGGUAAGGGUGACACAUCCCUCUAGACAAAAGAUCAACAGUAGCAACAAUGAGAAUGUACAAUCAUUAAAACAUCCCCUCAUCGAUAUAUCAACGGCACAUGCAUUAGAAGAAUUUACAGAACACAUUCACAAGAGAACAUUAUCAACACAAAAUCUCUGAGGGUGAGAAUACAACAUCAGUGUCGAAAUUAGGCCUCCCAACACUUGCAGUCUUCGAGCAUGCUGUGGCAGUCUGCGAGCAAGGAGGUUUGCUGUUUUGCAACUUCUUUUUUCUUUUUUUUUGUAUUUUCAUAGAAUUUUCAUUCUAACAAAACCAAUAACAAAAUUGAUGAGAAAAAAAUGGGUUACAAAAAUUAACAUAAAUAUUUUUAAAAUGAUGUGGUCAUUUAAGUGGUUUUUAUAUUAUUAUUUUAUUAUUUAUUUAAAUGAAAUCACAUAUGAUGAUCAAUUACACUUUUAAUAAAUUUAAUAAUUAAAUUAAGAUAAAUUAAAAUUUGAUAAACAAAACGAGAAAAGAGAUAUAAAUUUGAUAACAAUCUAUGAAAUUUAAUCAUGCACUACUAGUAAAAAAACUCAAUAGAUUUUGGGUAUCAAAGGAUGGAUUUAUAUUUGAUACACAAAUAGCCUAUAGCUUUUAUACACUGUCAGGGCAUAAUAUGGUGCUACCAAAAGUCAGCUUUACCAUAAAGCUACCAUAGCCCUUGUUUUAAAUCUCAAUUUUUUAUGGACCUCAUAGUUUUAUAAUAAUAUAAUUAAUUAUAUUAAAAAUAUAUAAAAAUUAAAAUAAUUAAUAAUAUAUUUCUUAAAUUAAGUGCCUAACUAAUAUCUAUUUUCUCUUGCUUCACACAUCUUAUCAAUUAUCAACUAUUUAUCUCAUUUCUUAUUAAAAAUAUUUAAAAGUUAAGAUAAUUAAUAAAAUGAUAUAUUCUCUCACUUAUCUAAUUAUAUGUCUAAUAAAUCUCUAUUUUUUAUCAUUUUUCAAUUCCUACAAUACUAUUAAUUCUCAAUUAUUUUUCAUAUUUUCAAUCAACGGUAAUAUGUAUUUAAUAAUCUCCAACUAACAAUAAAUUUUUGGAUAAAAUACCCCCACCCUUUAAAUUUUUAUCAAAAUUUCAAUGGGUCUAUUAGUUUUCAAAAUGGACACUUUGUCCUAGAAAAAUAUUAUCCGCUAGACACAUAGGUCUAGGCGUUAGUCAACGGUUAGUUUUUUCAUUAGAUUGAUGACGUGGUCAUAUUAAAAUGAUAAUUUUACCUUUUACUAAUUUUAAAAAUUAUUAUUAUAUAAUUUUAUUAAUUUAUUAUUAUUAUUAUUAUAUAUUAAUUUAAAAAAUAGGAGGGAGAUCGGUACUCUCUUUUCUUGGAGAGUUAGGGAGCAUCGUAUUUUUUUAUAUAUAUUUUUAAAUAUAAUAAGAAUUUUUUAAAUUAAUAAAGAAAAAAGAACAUUUUAGUCAUUUCAUAGCCUUUGUUAAUAGUGUUUACACUUUCUAAGUGAGUGUUCAUUUCAAAAACUAAUGGACUUCUUUAGAAUUUCGAUUAAAACUUAAGGAUGUGAGGUAUUUUGCCCUUAUUUUUUUUAAUUUCAAUUAAAAAAGUCUCAUUUGAAUAUUUAGACAUUUUAAGCCUUUAAGAUUAUUGAGUUGCCCUAGUGCACAUCACUAAGAAAUAAAUUUAUAACUUUAAAGGAUUUCAAAAUAAAUAUUAUUAUUUUAAAAAAAUAAGAAAAAAAAUUCUCUCUUAAACUCCCUUACAUCCAAUCUCUUCCUCCCCUUCCCUUGUUCUUUUUUCUCCUAUUCUUCCUCCCUUAACAAUAAUGAGUCCAAAACCGUAAAUUUUUAAUUUUGAUUCUUGAUAUUUAUUUCACUCUUCUUUUUUAAAUUACUUCCAAAAAAUAAAAAUGGAUUUAAUACUUUCAUCUCAGUUUGUUCAAUAAUGGCUUGCCUUGAAAUAUGUUGAAUAAAAUGGAUAAAUAUAUUGAAGGCAAUUGGAAAAAGUAAAAAGAAAAACAACUAAAAAUUCUAAAGAAAUAUAAUUGUCUUAUGAAAGAUAUAAAGUUAACAAGUCAUACAAAAAUUUCACGUGUCUUCAUCUUUGAAUCCAAGCAAGAAAUAGAUCAAUUUGUACAUAUGAAUACUAAUCAAUUAGGAUUUGCUAAUGCAAUGAUUGGUUGUUGUGGCACGAGGAUAUUGUAGGUAUCAUACUCGUGUAACCAAUUCAUUUGAUAGGUUUAAUCAAAAAAUCAAUUGUGUUAAAAAAUAAAAAAAUUUAGGGUUUUGGAUCUAUGGUUGAGGGAAGGAGAGAAGGAAAUUGAGAUUGAUAUUUUUUUUUAAUUUUUAAAAGUAAUUAAUAAUAUUUAUUUUUAAAUAUCUUAACAUUAUAAAUUUAUUUUUUUAAUAAAAUAACAUCAUUUGAUAUUUUAACAGUGUAUAAAAAAUAUACACUAUCAAUACAUCAAAUAUAUAUAAACACUGUCAAGACAUCAUUUGAAACAUUUUUCGAAUGCUUCUUAACAUUAACCACGUGGGUUCAUCUCAUCUUCUCUAAAUAAAAAGAAAAAAUAACAAAAUCAUCUUAUUAAUUAGUGCCCGAAAGCAUAAGCUCGUUAAUUUACUGGAUAAAUCUGAUUUUGACACAUGCUUUUCAAGCUUCUAGGUACUGCCCUUUCCCAACCACACAUUGACGAGUCCCCUGCCCACAUGUCUCCUUCAGCAUUAGCCUUACUUCUUAUCCUCCUCGGAACUCUCUGUUCCUUUAUCUACGUCUCUCGACCAAAACGCCUCAAAAAUGGCCGGAAACUUCCUCCCGGUCCGCGCCCCCUGCCGGUAAUCGGUAACCUCCAUCUGCUAGGAAAGCUUCCACACCUAAAUCUUCACCAUCUAGCCAAAAGAUAUGGCCCCAUCAUGUUAUUAAGGCUAGGCUAUGUACCCACAAUCGUGGUAUCAUCACCUCAAGCCGCCGAACUAUUCCUCAAGACCCAUGACGUUGUUUUUGCAAGCAGGCCCAAAGUCCAAGCCUCGGAAUACUUGUCGUUCGGUGGGAAAGGCAUGGGUUUUACCGAGUACGGUUCCUACCGGCGAACUGUUCGGAAAUGGUGUACUCUACACCUUCUCAGUGGUGUAGAUAUUUUUAAAAUGAUGUGGUCAUUUAAGUGGUUUUUAUAUUAUUAUUUUAUUAUUUAUUUAAAUGAAAUCAGAUAUGAUGAUCAGUUACACUUUUAAAAAUUUAGUAAUUAAAUUAAGAUAAAUUAAAAUUUGAUAAGCAAAACGAGAAAAGAGAUAUAAAUUUGAUAACAAUCUAUGAAACUUAAUUGAGCACUACCGAUACAAAAACUCAAUAGAUUGUUGGUAUCAAAGCAUGGAUUUAUAUUUGAUACACCAAUAGCCUAUAGUUUUCAUAAACUGUCAAGGCAUAAUAUGGUGCAACCCAAAGCCGGCUUUACCAUAAAGCCACCAUAGCCUUUGUUUUAAAUCUCAAUUUUUUAUGGAUCUCAUAAUUUUAUAAUAAUAUAAUUAAUUAUAUUAAAGAUAUAUAAAAAUUAAAAUAAUUAAUAAAAUAUUUCUUAAAUUAAGUGCCUAACAAAUAUCUAUAUUCUCUCACUUCGCACAUCUUAUUAAUUAUCAACUAUUUAUCUCAUUUUCUAUUAAAAAUAUGUAAAAGUUAAAACAAUUAAUAAAAUGAUAUAUUCUCUCACUUCUUUAAUUAUGUGUCUAAUAAAUCUUUAUUUUUUAUCACUUUUCAAUUUUUACAAUGCUAUCAAUGCUCAAUUAUUUUUCAUAUUUUCAAUCAACGGUAAUAUGUAUUUAAUAAUCUCCAACUAAUAAUGAAUUUUUGAGUAAAAUACCCCCACCUCCUAAAUUUUAAUCGAAAUUUCAAAUAAAUCUAUUAGUUUUUAAAAUAGAUACUUCAUCUCAGAAAAAUAUCUUCCACUGGAUACAUAAAUUCAACUGUUAGUCAACCGUUAGUUUUUUCGUUAGAUUGAUGAUGUGGUCAUAUUGAAAUGAUAAUUUUACCCUUUACUAAUUAUAAAAAUUACUAUUAUAUAAUUUUUAUUAAUUUGUUAUUAUUUUUUAAUUAAUUUAAAAAAUAAGAGGGAGAUCGGUAAAAUUUAUAAAUUUUAUUCAUAAUUAUAAAAUAUAUAAUUUUUAUAAAUUUAUAAAUUUUAACAAUAAUGAAUCCAAAACCCCAAAUUUUUAAUUUUGAGUCUUGAAGAUAAUAUUUAUUUCACUCUUCUUCUUAGUUUAAUUCUUAAUAUUUAUUUCACUCUUCUUUUUUAAAUUACUUCUAAAAAAUGAAAAUGGAUUUAAUACUUUCAUGUCAGUUUGUUCAACAAUGGCUUGCCUUGAAAAAUGGUUGAGAAAAGGAGAUUGAGAUUGAUAUUUUUUUAAUUUUUAAAAAUAAUUAGUAAUAUUUAUUUUUAAACUCCUUAAAAUUAUAAAUUUAUUUUUUAAUGAGAUAGCAUCAUUUGAUAUCUUAACAGUGUAUAGAAAAUAUACUCUAGCAGUGCAUUAAAUAUAUAUAUAAACACUGUCAAGACAUCAUUUGAAACAUUUUUCGAAUGCUUCUUAACAUUAACCACAUGGGUUCAUCUCAUCUUCUCUAAAUAAAAAGAAUAAAUAACAAAAUCAUCUAUAACACAAGUAAAAGAAAUCCUUAAAAAGGGCUUCCAAGUUUAGCCACGUUGUGACUUUUUUUGGAUGACAUCUGUUCAGAAUAUAUUUAAUAUUAUUUUAUUUGUUUUUUUUUUUAAAGUUGAUGAAUUUCAUUAAUAGAAAAACAAAGAUAAGUUCCUUAGAUACAAAAACAAAGCACACUAUGCCUUGAUCAUCAUAUCAUCUCAAAAUUAUGUUGACAACCUGCCCAAGAGAAGCCAUCAAAAAAUAGAUCACCAAAAACAAACAUCCCUAUCAUCAAUUUAUAGACAGAAGAAGAUUCAACCCCAGCAUAAAGCCAUAAAGUCAUACCAAAAUCCCCCUGCUCAGUAAUUCAUUCUAGAUCAAUAAAAAACAGGUUGCAAUCCAAUCUAAAAUUCUGAAAUCUAGAUCACACGUCUUUACAAGUAAUCACAGCAUCUCAUUCAAAAGACUCCAUAUCAUCUUAGUAUUAUUUGAUUUGUAGAGGAUGCAUGUGUGGUAUUUUCUUUUUAUGCUCACUAAAACCAACUCACACUCUGGCUUUCAUUCAAUUGAGUCCUACUCCAGAAAACAUCAAUAGGCAAGGAAGCAAAGUAAAAGCCACUCCAAAAGAAAAAGCCCAAAAAAAGUGAAAAAAACUUGCACCUCCAGAGGAACGGUGGCUAGGUCUUGUUAGAAAGAGAGGAAAUUGGCGGUAGAAAGAAGGGGAAGAGAAGAAAAGAAGAAAAUGGGAAAGGGAAAGAAAGAGGGAGUUGUUGCCGAAAAUGCCCAGUUCGGCAUAGGCGACGGCAUCAGGGGCCAAGUUCGGGAGAAAGGGUUUAGAGAAACGGGUUGGUUGCUAGGGUCAGUGGGAGAAGAAGAAGAAGAGAGCAAAAACGAAGAAAAGGGAAAGGGGUUGCCAGCUACGUUUAGGGAAAAUCAAAACCACGUCGUUUUAUGGAUACAAAAAGAAGAAAAAGAAGAAGUGGGUUGGAUUCACUCAAGCCCUAACCGAUGCAAUUUUAGAUUUAGUCAAUUUAUUUUAUUUAUAUAAUUCUUUUUUAUCUAUAAAUUAAAUUUAUAAAAUUACGGAUAAAAAAAAUUAAACUAUUUUUUUUAUGAGAAAUAAAAAAUAAAACAGUUUAUUGAAUGAAGUUAACAAUGACUCAUUAAAAUUAUCGGGGAUCCCAAAAUUAUUUUCACAAGGUGGAUUAAUUCUAAAUAAAUAUAAAAGUAUAAGAUAAAAAAAUAAUAAUUAAAAUUAAAGAAAAUUCAUAAAAUUUCAUAAUUAAAAUUAAAAAAUUUUAAUAUGAGUUAUUAAUAUGCAUUUUAUUUUGACUUUCAAAAGAAAUAAUCAUUUUAUUAUAUAACUUAUGUAGCUUUUUUUUUGCUACCCAUAUAAAUUAUGUAGCUUAUGAAUAAUAACUUUCAAUAAAUUAAAUUUUCUUAAUUUUAAUUUUAUUUUACUAUUGGAAUCAUCAUAAUUAACAAAAUAUGAUUAUAUUAAUAUUAAUAUAUAUUAAGAUAUAAAAAAUAAAUAUUUUUAAAAAUUAUUUAAAUAAAAAAUUUUACUUAGUAAGACAUAGGAAAAUCUUUUUAAAAUAUCAAUUUUUUAAAAUAAUAAGCUUUAAUUUAUUAUGAUUACUAUUAUUUAUAAUUUUUUUCAAAUUUAAAAUUACUUUUUAAUUAUUAUUAUUUUAUUUAUAAUAUUAUGAAAUUUAAAAUUAUUCUUUAUUAAAAAAAUUAACCCCAUGCAAAGCGGGGCACCACUCUAGUCUUAUUAAUUAGUGCCCGAAAACAGAAGUUCAUUAAUUUACUGGAUAAAUCUAAUAUUGACACAUGCUUUUCAAGCUUUUAGGUAUUGCCCUUUCCCAACCACACACUGACGAUUCCCCUACCCACAUGUCUCCUUCAACAUUAGCCUUACUUCUUAUCCUCCUCGGAACUCUCUGUUCCUUUAUCUACAUCUCUCGGCCAAAACAACUCAAAAAUGGCCGGAAACAUCCUCCCGGUCCCCGGCCCUUGCCGGUAAUCGGUAACCUCCAUCUGCUAGGAAAGCUUCCACACCUAAAUCUUCACCAUCUAGCCAAAAGAUAUGGCCCCAUCAUGUUAUUAAGGCUAGGCUAUGUACCUACAAUCGUGGUAUCAUCACCUCAAGCCGCCGAACUAUUCCUCAAGACCCAUGACGUUGUUUUUGCAAGCAGGCCCAAAGUCCAAGCCUCUGAAUACUUGUCUUACGGUGGGAAAGGCAUGGGUUUCACCGAGUACGGUUCCUACUGGCGAACUGUUCGGAAAUGGUGUACUCUACACCUUCUCAGUGGUUCGAAAGUUGAAUACUUUGCCCCAUUAAGGAAGGCGGAGCUGGGGUCGAUGGUUGAAACGGUAAAGAAGGCAGCGGCAGCAGGUGAGACGGUGGACAUUAGCCGAAAGGUAGGUGAGCUUAUCGAAGAC
rnacentral:lncRNA from 1 species